GAUGAACGCUGGCGGCGUGCCUAAUACAUGCAAGUCGAGCGAACAGAUAAGGAGCUUGCUCCUUUGACGUUAGCGGCGGACGGGUGAGUAACACGUGGAUAACCUACCUAUAAGACUGGGAUAACUUCGGGAAACCGGAGCUAAUACCGGAUAACAUAUUGAACCGUAUGGUUCAAUAGUGAAAGGCGGCUUUGCUGUCACUUAUAGAUGGAUCCGCGCCGUAUUAGCUAGUUGGUAAGGUAACGGCUUACCAAGGCAACGAUACGUAGCCGACCUGAGAGGGUGAUCGGCCACACUGGAACUGAGACACGGUCCAGACUCCUACGGGAGGCAGCAGUAGGGAAUCUUCCGCAAUGGGCGAAAGCCUGACGGAGCAACGCCGCGUGAGUGAUGAAGGUCUUCGGAUCGUAAAACUCUGUUAUCAGGGAAGAACAAAUGUGUAAGUAACUGUGCACAUCUUGACGGUACCUGAUCAGAAAGCCACGGCUAACUACGUG
rnacentral:rRNA from 1 species